CGUGUAAAGAGCUCCCUAAAAACGCCGGUUUGUGUAGUUAAAUGGCAUAAAAAACAACCAAAAACUUGUAGUUUAGUAAAAGAUGAAGUAAGGUUUCAUUUGAAAGUAUUUAAACCUUAAUUUUAUCAAAUUGUUAAAAAAAACAAUUUAUAAAAAGAAUCGAUUCUUUUGACGAAACAGCCAAACAUCGAUCAGUAAUCGAAUAUUCUAUGUAUUUAAUCUGUGGAUAGUCUAAGCAAUGCCACAGUAAAAAUAGUAUAGUAUAAUACAAGCAGUAGUUUGACUUCAUACUAGAGGUCGAAACGGGAGCUAUACCUACCUACGCACCUCGAACUCGGGGCGUGGGGUGCAGACAGUCGCGACUGUGCCGCAGUGACGAAAGCAUGGUGCUUUGACACCUAUAUAUAACGGACAUGUGGCAUUUUACGUCAAAUUUGGUCAAGGAAUAAUUUUUUUUUUAAUAAACAAAAUUUGUUCGUAACCUCUCUAACUUAAAGAAAGCUACCUUAAUGGAGCGAGAUAGAUAUUUUUUAGUCAUUGCGUAUAGAGGUUAGACAUGUUUUACAUGACAACAUCAAUUAUGACCAUUAACAUCAGUUGUGACCAAAUUAUGUUUUGUUUUUGUCGACGCAAAAUGGUGAUCGUUGUGGUUCCGGUGUAACGGUAUUCGAAUUAUUACGGAAAUUGUAACCAAUAAGCUUGUGAAUCGCAAAAUAUAUUAAAUAUUAUACAAUGGUGAAGUGUGCAGUUGUUGCCUGCACCAACAAAACUAGCGGGAAUUUCAUUUCACAAUGACCAAAAAUGGCUAUUUUUGUGGUUCCGGUGUAACGGUAUUCGAAAUAUUACGGAAAUAAUAACCAAUAAGCUUGUGAAUCGCAAAAUAAAUUAAAUAUUAUACAAUGGUGAAGUGCGCAGUUGUUGCCUACACCAACAAAACCCAAACAAAACUAGCGGGAAAUUCAUUUCACAAAUUUCCAAAAAAUCAUGAUUUAAGACAAAAAUGGCUAAACAGCAUUAAUAGGCCUAAUUUCCAUCAUGAUACAGCUGCAUAUGUAGUGAUCAUUUUAAGAAGGAUCACAUUAAUUUAACAUUAUGCCUUCCGCGCCUCAAAGACAAUGCCUGCCCAUCUAUCCCGAAUUUAUCACCUGAGCAACAAGUAAGACAACCCUUGCAAGAAGUGAAUCUUAAUCUGUUAUCAGAGUCAUGACAAUGCUAUUUCCCAAAAUGGAAUACAAGAUAUAAUGGUUCCAUCUACUUAUCAGUCAGCCAGUACACCUAACGUACAAAUAGUAACGGCUGGUUCAAUUAAGGACGUUUUGGCUCGUAUUGUCAAAAACAUAUUUAAAAACUAAAUUUUUCUUGUAAUAACGUCUCAAGAACAUAUGAAAAAAAAAAUUAUCUAGUAGAACGACAAUCAAAUAUUUAAGACCAUGUAUAAAAAAGUGUCAACUAGCCUAUUACUUUUUAAUAUGUCUAACGUAUAACGUUGUAUCAAAAAUUGUAAGUUUUGCAACUUCUAUAAAUAAAUUUUGUUGAUGAAUUACGAUUUUUGUUUCCUGUUGCCUUGAGGAUUCAGUGCAUAAACUGUGCGACUUGGAGAGUUUAGUAUUAGGCUGAUGGUGUAGGACAACAUCAUAUUCAUCUGAUAGUAAUCGUUACACAUUCAAGACAUAAACACAGGCCAACGUUCGUGAGUGCCAAUACAAAACAUUAUAUAGUUUAAAUAAUUUAUACUAUACAAUGUUUAUCAAAUACCACAGAGUAACCGGAAAAUGCGUGCUGAAGCGUCACGCGUCUCCUUGCAUAUAAAAACAAUUACGUAAAUUGAUAUAAUAAUCAAUAAAAAAAUACUCCAUCUUAUUUCUUUAGUUUUUGAGAACAGUUUUUAAAAUAUUUAGAAACAUAUGACGCCAUUUUUCUUGAAUAAUAUUGAAAAUUACUGAUGCGACGGUUCGUAUCGUACUGACAAGAGAACGUAUUCGUUUUUGAAUUUCAUAUUCGUAGCGGGUACGACACCGUCAUGUUCCGUACGCUCCAUCUGUAUAUUAUUGA